rnacentral:rRNA from 1 species
UACAGAGGUCCCAAGCGUUGUUCGGAUUCAUUGGGCGUAAAGGGUGCGUAGGUGGCGUCGUAAGUCGGGUGUGAAAUUUCGGAGCUCAACUCCGAAACUGCAUUCGAUACUGCGGUGCUUGAGGACUGGAGAGGAGACUGGAAUUUACGGUGUAGCAGUGAAAUGCGUAGAGAUCGUAAGGAAGACCAGUGGCGAAGGCGGGGCUCUGGACAGUUCCUGACACUGAGGCACGAAGGCCAGGGGAGCAAACGGG